rnacentral:lncRNA from 1 species
ACCUGGUCCAAAUCUCUAUUGCCCAAAAUGACGUCGUCCCCUCACCAUCUUAUCUUGGCCGUCAAUUUUCCUUAAUCUAACAGGCACAAUUGGCUCUUUGGUUUAUAAUAAAACUGUCCUAAUAUACGCAUAGCCAUAAACAACCGUAUUCAUCUUCCUCGUAUCUCUCUUAGAGAACCACCGGCAGAGCCGUCGCCGGUGAACGUCGCCAUCACCAUUCACGCCCAAAUUAACACCCUGUGAUCCUUUCCUCUCCCUCAUCUCAAAUCUACAAACAGUCCCCAUCAAAACCCAGUCCAGCUCUUCGAAUAUACCGUUAAAGUUUUUCGUCCACGACAUUGCUUGGCCCAAAUUAACCCAAAUUAACACCCUAGGUUCGCCUGAGCCUCCUCUACCCAACCCCCAUAACUGCCUGUCUCAAAGCUUGCUGGAACUACUUGAAAGGAGAUUUUUAAUUUCUUCGGCCAAACCCUAAAUAACCUAAUCCUUACUAAUUGAGUACGAUAGGAUCCCUAGUCUUAUCUUAUGGGAAUUUGAUCGUCAAUAAAGCUUGAAUGUCACCAAAGAUGGCCGGAGUUUGAAUUUUCAGUUAGCCGGAUUUCUUUUUCAAUAAUCAGCGAGUUUCCUUUCUUGGUGUAUUUCUCUUAUUUUAAUGUGUUAAUUCCAGUUUAAUGUGUGUUAAUUGUUGUCAAUUCUCUUUUUAUUUUGUGCUUAACUGUUUAUUUGCCUAAGUUUAGUAGUCCGUUUAAUUUGGGAUAAUCAGUCAUCUUUCUAUUUGAUUUUCACUGUUAGUUUUGUCCUAAUUAAUUCAGUGUCAAUAACUUUUGAUUCAUUAUUGGUUUUACUUCAUUAUGAUAGCUAGAUUAACAAAAUUUGCUAAUUUGGUUAGUACUUUUAUGGUGAUAAUUAGCAAAUUUUGUUAAUCUAGGUUAGCAAUUAUUUUUCUUAGAAGUGAAAGAGUAAAAUAGAAUAGAAUAGAGGAAAUCAGAAUUCACUAGGAUGUUCUAGAAGGGGUUUGAAGUGAAAAUCAGAAAAAUAGAUAGGAUAGCUUGAGUAACAAGUUAAAAAACUUAAGGACUAAGUUGAAAAUAACAUAAGGACUAGAGGGAAAAGCUAAAAUCUGAAAUAUUCUCCUAUAUGCCUAUAAAAGGGGCACUCAAUUGCCUUGCUAAGGGUCGGCUUCCCCGCCAUUUCAACUCAAAGAAACAAUUCCUUUUCAAUAGUUUUUUUCAGAUCUGAAGUAGCUGUCUAAUUUCGAAAAACCAAAACCAAAAUAAAAUCUAAUAGAAAAAAAAAUUAAGAAACUACUAUUCCAUUGGAAUUGCCAUUUUAAUUUACAGGAGUUCCUUAGUUCAAGGUCUGUUAGUUGCAUUUACUAGUUUCAAAUGGUUUUGAGUCUAUUUGAGCUGGAUUUCAAUUAUUUCUGGGUUUGACUGGAAGUGGUGAACAUUUGCUGGGUAAAUGUCAAGGUCGUUUGGUUUAUUUCGAGUUUGAUUCAAGUUGAUCUAUCAUUUUUGGUUGGUUUCAAACUUCCUCCAGGGCUGCGUUGUGAUUCUCUGAGUUGAUUAUUAUUGUUGCUUUCUUUGUAACUAUUGAUCUGCUAAGGACUGAUUCAUGUUGUUAACUUACCUUUCUCCUUCAUUGUUCUUCAAUUUCCAAGUACACCUUGUACAUCUUUGGCUAUGGGAAUGAAAUGAAACAUGAUUCAAGUUUCUAUUACUGCCCGAGUGUUGAUAGCUACUGUUUUAGUUUCAUUCAACUAAUUAUUGCCUAGUUGUUAUUUUCAAUGAUUUGAUUUGUAGUGGAUAGAGAUAUGCUUAAUUAGAACUAUGUCCAUUUAGUGUAAGCUUCCUGAAACUGGACUGAUAAAUAUGACGUACAAGUUGUUGAUGUAGAUGUUAGUUGAGUGCUAGUGCAUUUACACUCCUGUAUGCGAUAGAAGCGGAAGCCUAUUAUAUUUAUAAUUGUCAUUCAGCCAUGUUAUAGCAUAACCUCGAUUGGUAUAGUUGUUUUGGAAAAGCAGAGUUGAAAUGGAACAGGAAAAUAGAUUUGGAGUAUAGGAAAUGUGUAGUGAUAAUUAAAGUGUGAGCUGCUAGUUGUUAAUGUUAGCUUAAAUGAUGGCUUUUAAGCCGUUGAUUUGUUCCAGCGAUCGUAAAAAAACAAGUUCAAAUGAUAUCUGUGUACCAUCUGAUUCAAUUCCACAGCGCAACUAGUUUGAAAUACUAAAUUGUUUGAGUAUUAGUCUAAUAGUAUUAAUUUGAAUAAUAUAUCGUUUUGAAUAUGGCCUUUAGCUGAUUUGUAUGAAUUGGUGGUUAUUCUGUUGUGAAUUAUUUGGACACACGUGAAGUAAUUUGAAACGAGUGUAGUAAACCUUGGCCAGCUAUUGAGGCUCACGUGAUGGGGAUGUUGAUAGCCCAAAUUCCAGAGAUGUUAGGCUCUAGUUUAGGAAAAGUCAUGACCUGCCUAGAUCAGGGAGACCACUCCACAAGAACUGGCCGUCUAAGGCUAUUUGGGUUACACAGUUUCGGCCGUUUGGGCUUGAGGUCAAAUGGAAGGGGGGCUAAUAAUACCUAAAUUAAUGUCUAUGGCCUUCUUUACAUAAUAAAAUUAGUUAUGAUUUUUCUCUCUUCGUCUCUCAUUUUAGAGACAAAUACACAAUAGAAAAUCGUAAUUACUUUUAGGUUGGCCUUUUAAUACAAUGAUGAGACGAGCCUCACCAAACAAAAUACAAAUUGUGAGGUCCUCAAUAAAUGUUAAAUGAAAGCAAUUAGAAUUCAGGAGGUCCGUUUAACGAAUAUCACGGUUUUCCCCAAAUAAUAAUACGCUAGACUCUUUAAGCACGAAUUUAAUAAAAUUACAUUCUUAAAUUUGGGUGCACAUUUAUGUGACCCAAAUCCAAAUCUCAACGGAGUCGAAUUGUGUUGACAAUCACGGGUGCAUUGAUUAUGAUGUGGUUCGAAACAUGUUUUCACGACGUUGCAAUUCUUUUAAAAUAUUGAUAACAACGGUUUAUGAAUAAAAGGCACAUAAGCUAGCAUGUAUUAAAAUUAGAUAAAUUCAUAUACAACAAUUAAGUGACCGUGCUAGAACCACGGAACCCAGGACUACCUAAUACCUUCUCUCGGGUUAACAAAAUUCCUUAUCCAGAUUUCUGGUUCGCGGUAUGCAGAGUCAUUUCUUUCCUUGGUUCGGGAUUAAACUGGUGACUUGGAAUACCAUUAAUUUCCCAAAUGGCAACUCUGAAUAAUUAAUAACUAAAUCUCAUUUCGAUUUUCCUUUAAUUGGAAAAACUCUUUUAUGCCCUUGUGGGUAUAGUGAAAAAGUAGGUGUGCCAGCGGGUAUGCUGAGGGUGGUGAACCACAAGUAGGGGGUAGAGUCAACCAAGAAACCGGAGGCAUGGGGAAACAGGUUUGUCAGCGAGGUGGCCUUCUACAAAUUCAGGGAUUGGUGGCCCAAAAUAAAAUUGAUCACGGAGCGACAAUUCAUAGAUGUUGAUCUUGUCCCUCUUAACCCUCACGUGCAAGCUCAAUUCUAAACGAGAGAGGGUUGGGGAUUCUUCAAGGAACGCUGUGAGAUGGCCAAUGAGCAUAUGGUAAAGGAGUUCUGCUGCAAUGUUCACCAUGUAUUCGGGACUCAAAAGCAACCAAAGUGCGGGACAAAGUUGUGUUAUUGAUUGUAAAACACUUAAUGAAUUCUUGGGGUUACAAGAAGAGGACGAAUCUCAAUAUUUGGAAAAGUUGACAAUGAAAGAAGAGGUUCGUCCUUGGUUGGCCCAGCACUUGGAAUCUCCAGGUACAGUCCCAGUUUGGUUGACAGCACAAGAUAAGAUCUAUAGGAACACUUUGAAUUUUAAAGCCAAGGGGCGGUUGACUUUUGUAUGCAGUGGACUUGACCCUUCCACACAUGAUCACUCCAUUCCUAUUCCCCGAGCUGUUUUGGUGGCCUCUUUCAUGGCGGUGUUCCCUUUGAAUGUGGGCAACAUUAUGUCAAGGGUGAUUUCUACAGUUGGUCAGGAGACCAACACAAACUACCCCUUCCCAAACACACUCUCUUUAUACUUCAGAGACUUGAAAGUGAAGAAAAAGAGAUAUGAUGUCAAGCUACCUUCGGUGGCCCCGUAUUCAUGGUACAGUCAAUUGGGUCUAGACAACACAAAGAGGGAAUGUGGCAUCUACUUCUACCGCACCUGGCCAGUCUGAGGAGAUAGUGAUCAUUGAGCAGCCCACUGGGCCUUCCACCAUCCCUGCUAUUGAUGAGGCAUUGCCUCUAGGUCUUUCCUCUAUAGCUGGUCCUUCUAUUGCAGCUGACCCGGUAGUCUUUUCAUCAAAGACUCACCGGUUCAUCUCAAACCAUCUCACAUAUUCCUUAGCCAGUUUGAACAACUGGAUGUCAGCUGCAACAUCCAAGUUGUUCACAUUGGCCACUGCAGUCCAGACACAGAGAGCACCAUUUACUGUUGAGAUUCCUUCCUCCAUUGAGGAAACACUGAAGUAGAUCCUGGCCAACCAGGAAAAGAUAAUAGAGAAGCAGGAUAACUUGACCAAAGCAGUUGGGGAUCACAGCAAGGCACUAGACAAAUUGGCUCGGGAGCAUAGAAAGUUGAGUAAGACAAAGCCUCAAAGGAGCCAAUGCAGAAGGUGUGGGAGGAUGUGGACAAGCUAUUGGCAGAUCAGAUGUCGCUUGAUUUGUUAUCAAGGAUCCAGCUAUAGAGCCAGCAGUAGUGCAGCCAUAGAAGGAUGAGCGUAGGCCAAAGAAGAAGAGGAAACUCCCUAGCACAGAGGGAGUUGUGGUUGAGGUAGCACAAGUACAUGAGGGUCCCUCCAGUGUUCCACCUGUUGAUGAGCCAGUUCCUGAUCAGGCAUCUAUCCCAGCAGCAGCAACAGCCGGGGACCAGUCUGAGGUCCCUGCCAUUACAGAGGACUUAGAGACCACUGCCCAGCACAGGGUGACGAAGGAGGCUUGAGGGGCCAUUCUAUAUCCUUUCUUGAUUUUUAGUGCUUCAUUUGGUAGUUAGCAUUGGGGACAAUGCUAGAUUUUAUUUGCGGGGGUGUGUCCCUACCGUUUUGAUUAACAUUCUGGACUAUUGUAUAUAUUCUUUUACUUUCAGCACAUACAUAGUUGUUAGAUGAUUUUUAUAUAACUUUUCAUUCUAGAUUCUCUUCAACUCUAUGUAUAUCUUCAUUACCCCUAGUUUUAUAUUCUACUCCCUUUUUGUACAUAUUCAUUCAAUUUUCAUUUUGGUUUUCUUUUUUUCAUUCUAUUUUUCAUUAUAAUUUUUUGUUUUAGUUGUAAAUUUAGGCUCGUAGCCUUUUGUUAUGUUUUGGCAUUUGCAAUAAGUCCUUGGUUUUCUUAAUGCCACGAUUCUUUCUAAGGGUAGAGUGUUGUGCGAACCAGGUGGCUCUUCCAAAUGAUAGAUGGCGUGACAACCUUCUUAAGGGUUUGAGUUCGUUUUUUAUUUUUCUUUUUGAUUUUCAAGUUUUGUAGUAAGGGUAUCUCAGGCAAAGCUUCACUUGGGCCUAGCACAUUUGCCUUUGAUACUAUGGUUAGAGAGAUGAUGUUGUGUUUAGGAUGGUGAAAGUCAUGGCCUUGAGACUCUUGUGUUGACCAAACAAUCAUCAUUUGGUCUUUUUGGGCUAUUGUGCGCUUGAAUCGUAACUAUGAUUGUUAUGAGCCCUCGACUCGAUGUCUUUAGCGAUCCUUGAGUGUGUAUGGUGAGAAUUCAAAUUGUGAGUCCAAAUACCUAGCCAAUGGUCUAGAACUUACCCUGAAUGUUUGUUGAGGAGAAAUCAUAGGUGAAACUUGACUUGAGACGUGAUUAUAGGCUCUCCUUGAUCCAAAAUGCAAAAUUUGAAUAAUUUCCAUGACCUGCCAAUGAAAUGAUCCCUAGUUCACCCCUUUUCAGCCUUAAACCCUUUUCUUUCAUGAACCAAGCUAUAAGCCUAUACCCGUUCUUAAUGAGAACUUACCUUGACACCCAUAUCUUCACUUGAGUAAUGGAAAAUGUCUAAGUUUGGGGGGAGAGACAAGAAAGGAAACAAUGUGGUACAAAGGCACAAAAGAAAAGAAAAGAAAGAAAAUGAAAAAGAGAAAAAGAUAAAAAGUAAGACAAAAGUGAAUAAGAACCAAAAAGGGAAUCCAAGGACAACAAAAAGAGAAAAAGGUGUGGAAAAGUAGACAAAAGGAGAAAGGUUUUGAAUUGUAUAAGAAAGAGUGACAAUGUGUCUCUCUAACCCCUUGAAAGAAGUGAAUUACUCAAUUGAGUCAAGAAAGUGUGCCAAAAUGAAUCAAAAGAAGUGCUUGAGGAAAGAUUGAACCCAUUUGAACAAAAUUAUGUCCUACCUGUACCCAAAAGCCUUCACAAUGACUCCUCAAAAGCCCUAUAUAAUUGUGAGUUGAGGGAGGCUAACAUUAGUAGAUACUUACAUAACGCGCAAGCAUAUGGUACUUAGAGCCGGACUUAUGGACUUUUCUUUGUGAGAUAUGAGUGAGAAUCCAUCCACCUCGGUUUUAUGCAAUACUCUAAAAAGUGAGGUUCACUUAUGGAGAGUUGAGGAUGUGUGAGUUUGGGUUCCACAAUGACCAAAGUACUUGAGAAAGGUUCCUUGAUGAGAUGUGUCAACUCUUGAUGCUUGUGUGUAACAUUUGAUCCACAAGUUUUAAAAUUUUAAUUAUGUUAAUGAUGCAUUUGCAUUGAGGACACUUUUUAGUCCCAAUUGAUGCUUGUUGAGGUUCUUUAGGAUAAACAUGAAUUACUUGGGUGUUUUUCCAUUGAGGGGUAGGUCUCAUUUUAUUUGUUUGAGGACAGUCAAAGGUUUAAGUUUGGGGGAGUUGAUAACUAUGAUUUUUACAUUCUUUAUUCCCAUUCUUUUCUGAGCUUUGUGCGUGAAUUGCCAUACAGAAGUCCCAAAAUGCUUACAAGUUACGCUUGAUUGCAGGUUUGAGCGACAAGAUGACAAAUGUCAAAGAUCGGCUAAAAAAGGAGUGAAAUCUGCCAAGUGACAAAAUACAAGUGAAGUGGGGUAACAAAUGACCUGCGCGGUCCGCACUGAUGUGUCACGCAGCCGCUCAAGAGAUUUUAGAGGAUGAAU